rnacentral:rRNA from 17 species
AGGUCAGGCGGGACUACCCGCUGAG